GUUCCCACUGCGUGACCGAGCCAGCUCGCACCGCAUCCAUCCGCGAGCGGCCACCAGCCUCUGGUGGCGGAUGC
rfam:Variovorax sp. WDL1 contig_478, whole genome shotgun sequence.